rnacentral:rRNA from 1 species
UACGUAGGGUGCAAGCGUUAAUCGGAAUUACUGGGCGUAAAGCGUGCGCAGGCGGUUGUGCAAGACCGAUGUGAAAUCCCCGGGCUUAACCUGGGAACUGCAUUGGUGACUGCACGGCUAGAGUGUGUCAGAGGGGGGUAGAAUUCCACGUGUAGCAGUGAAAUGCGUAGAGAUGUGGAGGAAUACCGAUGGCGAAGGCAGCCCCCUGGGAUAACACUGACGCUCAUGCAACGAAAGCGUGGGGGAGCAAACAGG